CCGGCGCAACGUCAAUUUCGCGGGAAGCUUUGUGCGCGCUGCGGCGGCUGCUGAGGCGGCAGGAGCGGGUGCGUUUGGUUGUGGCUUCUUCGUGACACGAGCCUGCUUGCAUUCGCGUCUCUGAGCCGUGUACGGUGGGGCAGCGUGGAACGUCUGCCCUUACCGGGUGGUUACGGGCUGGCAGGAUGCUGUAUGAGUGGUCCUGGUGUCCAGAGCUAACCUACGAGGCCGCGGCUAGUACCUGCGCUGUGCUUCCGGGAUCCGAAGCGCCUUAGGUCUCCAGGUCUCCAAAGAGAGAUUAAAGACCUUCGGUGAGGAGGAGCCAGAGGCUGGGGUGGGGAUCUGUCUCCCGGAAAAAGAGACCUCGUAGUCUCUCAUCCUGACAUACCGGAUACCACUGGACAAUUGUCAGUCAAUCAGGUUCCUGGACCCUGGAAAUCCCCUCACCCCAACCUCUGCUAUGAUAAAAACUCUGCCCCACCUGAGCUCAGGGCUCUGCUCUCACCGCUAUGUUGGACUGACAGAGGCACCACAGCUCUGGAGCUUGAAAUAAAGGCUUUUUGCUUUUACAUGCGG